rnacentral:rRNA from 1 species
UACGGGGGGAGCAAGCGUUGUUCGGAUUUACUGGGCGUAAAGGGCGCGUAGGCGGUCAGCACAAGUCAGUUGUGAAAUCUCCGGGCUUAACUCGGAAAGGUCAACUGAUACUGUGCGACUAGAGUGCAGAAGGGGCAACUGGAAUUCUCGGUGUAGCGGUGAAAUGCGCAGAUAUCAGGAGGAACACCGGUGGCGAAGGCGGGUCUCUGGGCCGAUAUUGACGCUGAGGAGCGAAAGCGUGGGGAGCGAACAGG